CUCCAGACUCCUACGGGAGGCAGCAGUGGGGAAUAUUGGUCAAUGGGCGCGAGCCUGAACCAGCCAAGUCGCGUGAGGGAAGACGGCCCUACGGGUUGUAAACCCCUUUUGCCGGGGAGCAACGGGCGCCACGUGUGGCGCCACUGCGGGUACCCGGAGAAAAAGCAUCGGCUAACUCCGUGCCAGCAGCCGCGGUAAUACGGAGGAUGCGAGCUUUAUCCGGAUUUAUUGGGUUUAAAGGGUGCGUAGGCGGAAUAUCAAGUCAGCGGUAAAAAGUCGGGGCUAAACCCCGUCGUGCCGUUGAAACUGAUGGUCUUGAGUGGGGGAGAAGUAUGCGGAAUGCGUGGUGUAGCGGUGAAAUGCAUAG
rnacentral:rRNA from 1 species